rnacentral:rRNA from 1 species
AGAGUUUGAUCCUGGCUCAGGACGAACGCUGGCGGCGUGCUUAACACAUGCAAGUCGAACGAUGAAGCCUUCGGGUGGAUUAGUGGCGAACGGGUGAGUAACACGUGGGAAAUCUGCCCUGCACUCUGGGACAAGCCUUGGAAACGAGGUCUAAUACCGGAUAUGACCUUCCUCCGCAUGGGGGUUGGUGGAAAGCUCCGGCGGUGCAGGAUGAUCCCGCGGCCUAUCAGCUUGUUGGUGGGGUAAUGGCCUACCAAGGCGACGACGGGUAGCCGGCCUGAGAGGGCGACCGGCCACACUGGGACUGAGACACGGCCCAGACUCCUACGGGAGGCAGCAGUGGGGAAUAUUGCACAAUGGGCGAAAGCCUGAUGCAGCGACGCCGCGUGAGGGAUGACGGCCUUCGGGUUGUAAACCUCUUUCAGCAGGGAAGAAGCGCAAGUGACGGUACCUGCAGAAGAAGCACCGGCUAACUACGUGCCAGCAGCCGCGGUAAUACGUAGGGUGCGAGCGUUGUCCGGAAUUAUUGGGCGUAAAGAGCUCGUAGGCGGCCUGUCGCGUCGGAUGUGAAAGCCCGGGGCUUAACCCCGGGUCUGCAUUCGAUACGGGCAGGCUAGAGUGUGGUAGGGGAGAUCGGAAUUCCUGGUGUAGCGGUGAAAUGCGCAGAUAUCAGGAGGAACACCGGUGGCGAAGGCGGAUCUCUGGGCCAUUACUGACGCUGAGGAGCGAAAGCGUGGGGAGCGAACAGGAUUAGAUACCCUGGUAGUCCACGCCGUAAACGGUGGGAACUAGGUGUUGGCGACAUUCCACGUCGUCGGUGCCGCAGCUAACGCAUUAAGUUCCCCGCCUGGGGAGUACGGCCGCAAGGCUAAAACUCAAAGGAAUUGACGG